CUCAAAAUUCCUCUCCCUCAACGUCGACGGUUCUUUCCCGUUCCCCCCAUCACAAACCCUAACCCUAGAAAAGUUGGAUUGCGAUGGCCGAAUGGUGGAUGAGGGUCUUCUGCAUCGGCGACGGCGGAUUCAUCAUCGUGUCUGUUCCAAUGACUCUUCCUUCGUGGUAUCCAUUUCUCCAAAAACAAAACAAAAAAUAGCCUUCUCUAGUUCUUGAUGCUUGCGCUCUCUUUUGGCUCCGUCGUUUGGAUGUUCUUUUUCCAAGAAAACGUUGGACGUGGAAGAGCGGUGAUCUGAUAUGUCAUAUAUCUGAUGAAUCAGAUCCUAAGGGACCAUGGGAGGAUUCGAGGAGGUUGACCUUUGCGGACGGACACACAAGGGUGCCGCACGACUUAGGCAAAACCAGCUAAGUCCGUGACAGAGCGCUAGCAGGGGAUGAAUUGCGUCCCAGAAGAUGCCUUCCUUUGAUUCUACAUGAGCAGAACAUGCACAUUGAAGAAGCCAAAGUCUUAAUGAGAAAGCCAAAGUCUUAAUGAGAAAGGCCGCACGAAGUGAUUUGGGCACAGAUGAUCUUUUGUCGCUUGCAAGUGAUGAUAGUGAAGAAGAGGGGAGAUUGAUGACAUGGAAUCCAGGCAUAUUCUGAUGGAAAGAUACUGCAGGAGAUUUUGACCUCAACGAUCAUGAUGGAAUUUGCUAAUUAGGAUAAUGUUGAUUUGCUUGGAAAGGAUAGUGAUGCAGAGACACAGCCAGACAGUAAAUUCACUUCACAUGGGCACGGUGGAAGAACAAAUGAUGAUAGCGUUGACAUGUGGAAUAGUAAUUAUGAGGAAGGUGGUGAUUGAUGAUCUUCGUGAUGUUAGUACUAAAGAAUAAAAAAGGGAGAAAAACAAAAAUAUAUCUAAUUGAGCAUACUUAUCACGUGUGUGUGUGUGUUGAUAUUUUGUCUAUGUUUGACUGACGAUAUGUUAGUACUAAAGAAAAAAAGGAGGAGAAAAACAAAAAUAUAUCUAAUUGAGCAUACUUGUCA